GUGGGUUUGGAGUAGAGAGACAUGCAUCUAUUAUCUUUUAAUCUGAGAGACUCGUCCCCAAAUAUGGUGGCUCUCAUUGUCGUCAAUGAAGAUAUCAUGGCAGUAUCUAUCCGUACAUAUAGACUACAUGCCAUUCAUGUCGAUAGUAUGGUGAAUUAUCGUUCAAGUCCCUUUUGGUGAAGUAUGUGGUGGUGUAAUAUUGUUAACAUGGUAUUUAUGGAGUCAAAUGUGGAUGGCUGGACAUGAGGUCAACAAAAGGGUUGAGGUGACAGUGUGCAGGAGGUCAACUGGACUAGGGCUUCGUGAUGGACAGCAUGGGGGCGGGUGGGGAGUGGGGGCCAGGAGUGAGCCGGUAUAGAGGAUGAGCGGGAUAGGGGGAUGUAGGGAGUGUGGAUAUGAAUACAGGGAUAUGGAGGUGGAGGGAGUGUGGAUGUAAAUACGGGGAUAUGGAGGUGUAGGGAGUGUGGAUAUGAAUACGGGGAUAUGGAGGUGUAGGGAGUGUGGAUGUAAAUACGGGGAUAUGGAGGUGUAGGGAGUGUGGAUGUGAAUACGGGGAUAUGGAGGUGUAGGGAGUGUGGAUGUAAAUACGGGGAUAUGGAGGUGUAGGGAGUGUGGAUGUGAAUACGGGGAUAUGGAGGUGUAGGGAGUGUGGAUGUAAAUACGGGGAUAUGGAGGUGUAGGGAGUGUGUGUGGAUGUGAAUACGGGGAUAUGGAGGUGUAGGGAGUGUGGAUGUAAAUACGGGGAUAUGGAGGUGUAGGGAGUGUGGAUGUAAAUACGGGGAUAUGGAGGUGUAGGGAGUGUGGAUGUAAAUACAGGGAUAUGGAGGUGUAGGGAGUGUGGAUGUAAAUACAGGGAUAUGGAGGUGUAGGGAGUGUGGAUGUAAAUACAGGGAUAUGGAGGUGUAGGGAGUGUGGAUGUAAAUACAGGGAUAUGGAGGUGUAGGGAGUGUGGAUGUAAAUACAGGGAUAUGGAGGUGUAGGGAGUGUGGAUGUAAAUACAGGGAUAUGGAGGUGUAGGGAGUGUGGAUGUAAAUACAGGGAUAUGGAGGUGUAGGGAGUGUGGAUGUAAAUACAGGGAUAUGGAGGUGUAGGGAGUGUGGAUGUAAAUACAGGGAUAUGGAGGUGUAGGGAGUGUGGAUGUAAAUACGGGGAUAUGGAGGUGUAGGGAGUGUGGAUGUAAAUACAGGGAUAUGGAGGUGUAGGGAGUGUGGAUGUAAAUACAGGGAUAUGGAGGUGUAGGGAGUGUGGAUGUAAAUACAGGGAUAUGGAGGUGUAGGGAGUGUGGAUGUAAAUACAGGGAUAUGGAGGUGUAGGGAGUGUGGAUGUAAAUACGGGGAUAUGGAGGUGUAGGGAGUGUGGAUGUAAAUACGGGGAUAUGGAGGUGUAGGGAGUGUGGAUGUAAAUACGGGGAUAUGGAGGUGUAGGGAGUGUGGAUGUAAAUACGGGGAUAUGGAGGUGUAGGGAGUGUGGAUGUAAAUACAGGGAUAUGGAGGUGUAGGGAGUGUGGAUGUAAAUACAGGGAUAUGGAGGUGUAGGGAGUGUGGAUGUAAAUACGGGGAUAUGGAGGUGUAGGGAGUGUGGAUGUAAAUACGGGGAUAUGGAGGUGUAGGGAGUGUGGAUGUAAAUACGGGGAUAUGGAGGUGUAGGGAGUGUGGAUGUAAAUACGGGGAUAUGGAGGUGUAGGGAGUGUGGAUGUAAAUACGGGGAUAUGGAGGUGUAGGGAGUGUGGAUGUAAAUACGGGGAUAUGGAGGUGUAGGGAGUGUGGAUGUAAAUACGGGGAUAUGGAGGUGUAGGGAGUGUGGAUGUAAAUACAGGGAUAUGGAGGUGUAGGGAGUGUGGAUGUAAAUACAGGGAUAUGGAGGUGUAGGGAGUGUGGAUGUAAAUACGGGGAUAUGGAGGUGUAGGGAGUGUGGAUGUAAAUACGGGGAUAGGGAGGUGUAGGGAGUGUGGAUGUAAAUACGGGGAUAGGGAGGUGUAGGGAGUGUGGAUGUAAAUACGGGGAUAGGGCGUGACAAGGCGGGAUGAGUCAGGUCAGGUAUAGAUGUAGAUUCGGGGAUAGGUUGAGUGAGGGUAAAGAUGUAGAAGGUG